rnacentral:rRNA from 1 species
AGUCGAGCGGUAGAGAGGUGCUUGCAUCUCUUGAGAGCGGCGGACGGGUGAGUAAUGCCUAGGAAUCUGCCUGGUGGUGGGGGAUAACGUUCGGAAACGGGCGCUAAUACCGCAUACGUCCUACGGGAGAAAGCGGGGGAUCUUCGGACCUCGCGCCAUUAGAUGAGCCUAGGUCGGAUUAGCUAGUUGGUGAGGUAAAGGCUCACCAAGGCGACGAUCCGUAACUGGUCUGAGAGGAUGAUCAGUCACACUGGAACUGAGACACGGUCCAGACUCCUACGGGAGGCAGCAGUGGGGAAUAUUGGACAAUGGGCGAAAGCCUGAUCCAGCCAUGCCGCGUGUGUGAAGAAGGUCUUCGGAUUGUAAAGCACUUUAAGUUGGGAGGAAGGGUAGUAACCUAAUACGUUGCUACUUUGACGUUACCGACAGAAUAAGCACCGGCUAACUUCGUGCCAGCAGCCACGG